GACGAACGCUGGCGGCGUGCUUAACACAUGCAAGUCGAACGGAAAGGCCCUGCUUUUGUGGGGUGCUCGAGUGGCGAACGGGUGAGUAACACGUGAGUAACCUGCCCUUGACUUUGGGAUAACUUCAGGAAACUGGGGCUAAUACCGGAUAGGAGCUCCCGCUGCAUGGUGGGGGUUGGAAAGUUUCGGCGGUUGGGGAUGGACUCGCGGCUUAUCAGCUUGUUGGUGGGGUAGUGGCUUACCAAGGCUUUGACGGGUAGCCGGCCUGAGAGGGUGACCGGCCUCAUUGGGACUGAGAUACGGCCCAGACUCCUACGGGAGGCAGCAGUGGGGAAUAUUGCACAAUGGGCGGAAGCCUGAUGCAGCAACGCCGCGUGCGGGAUGACGGCCUUCGGGUUGUAAACCGCUUUCGCCUGUGACGAAGCGUGAGUGACGGUAAUGGGUAAAGAAGCACCGGCUAACUACGUG
rnacentral:rRNA from 1 species